CGCAUAUACACCGGGAUACCUCCUACCUCAUCGGCCUGUGCGCUCUGAUUCGGGCCCUUUACUCGUUGUAAAUUCUCGAAAGAUGCGAGGAGCUGUGUCGCUAUGUUCUGCGUCUCGAGUGUUCCAGAACUCCCGCUGGCAUCUCUCUCCUCGUCGAGAACGAGAACGACCGUUGCACUGUGGACUGUCGGGGGCUCUACAGCGAAGGCACAGGCGACUUCAGGCUCGACGGCAAUCCCCAGAAGCGGGUUUCUCGUGAUAUCUCGGAUGGGUUUCUUUCCACGUCCACUCGCGUUUCCCUGGAGAUUCAUCGCCCCUUUAGGGUCUAGGCGUCCACUCGGCGAGCUCUUCGGAGCUGCCUUUGCGUUGCCUUUGCUACUUUUCCCCCCCGGUUGAGCCAUCGUUACGCCGAGACCGUACCGUCAGUUGCACACCCCUGCCACGGGACGCGCCGCAGCCUCUCAGCGGAUAAAACGGAGACAGUCCCAACAGUGGAAAGGAGCGCUACGGCGCGGGUUCGAAGAGAUUUGCUUAGAGCGGCCUCGGCAAAUUCGUGGAACCCUACAGAGCAUCUCUUUUUGGUCGGAACAAAGGUCGCGUAAGGCAGACGGUGUCUCAGAGGAGAACACGGUGGACGUGGCCGGGGCGCGGAAGAGAGGAGGAAUGCAAUCAGGCCUCCGACACCGGCGAGGCACGCAAAAGGAGACGUCUGUAAAAGCGCGAUUCUUUUCAUUCCUUCGGUGACCGGGAAGUGCGAUGUUCUCGGCUAUUCUUCCAGGCCGGCCACAUCCCUUGUUCCGCAUAUGAAAAUGCAACUGCCUAUGUGAAUGUGCUAACACAUGCAUGCCUACCUGCAUAUAUUGCAGUGCAAACGUGCAUACAUGAAGGCGGAGGCGAAGAGUUCGGUCAACAUGUCAGCGUCAGUGCUGGACGUGUUUCUCGGCAGAUGGCAAACAGUGACACAAACAAGAAAACAACUUCAGGACGGACAUGCGCGUACAAUCCAGAGGUCGUCGACCAGGAGUCACCCCGACUGGGUGGCCAAGGACAACGACGCACAGAACGCCUGAGAGAGUUCCAGGGUUUGACCAUUUGGAAGGUUACGAUCAACGAAAAAUCCCGCAGUGCGUUUUUGAGUAGGCCUCAGAUCUAACGCGUUAAUGUCUCCCUGGAACGUGUCCGUCCGUCGUUUUUCCAGAGGAAGGUCAAACAACGUGAGGCGCCCCGUCGAGGGCGGUCUUUGUCGAGGGACUUCCCGGAAUCACGCCGAGUCCGUCGGUUCCUGGCGUUUUCCUCGUCCAUUCGGAUAACUGAGACGGCAGGCAAAAGCAAUUAACGCCAACCCGAAAACGAGAAAAGGAAUGGAAAGGACAACCAAGCAAACGCCCAGUCCCAUGACACGCCACGCGCGCGCGGAAAAACUGGACUUUGAUGUGUGGUUCGUUUUUUGAGGGGCCCGCGAAAAGCUUAUGACUCUGGUGUGGACAUGCGAAUGUAUAAAGCCUGUGCAUGUUGUGUUUCUGGGUAACACAAGUCGCAUUUCUCUACGCAUUUCGGGGUUUCCAGUACACAUCGAAUUAGAUCGGUAUUUGAUCUAACGAGGGGGAUGCGCAUCCGUGACAGCAUGAUGCGCGGGAACAAGGAGAAAUCGCCCACAAAAUUAUUCUGAAAAAAAAGGCGUUCAAACUGGAUGCGAGCAACUGUGAACCACGUCUGUACCCGAGGCGAACUCUUGCACCAAAUCAAACCGAUUCCGUCGGCGCCUGCAAAAACGCAACCCACAGGAAAACGGCGCUCUUCUGUGUGUUGUGCGUGUGUGUUCAUGGGUCCAUCUAGUCGAGAUUGCCCGGCUUGGCGGAACUGGUUGCGCUUGACCUUGUUUUUCGGGCGUUUCCCGACACCGCGGCGGCCAUCGACAGCCUACUGGCCGAAUCCAGGGAUCUCCUCUCGUCCACGGUCCCAAUUUUGUUCGGCUGUGUUUCCCUUUUGCGUGGUCUCUGACGCGGUCUUUCCUCGCUUCAACCCCUAUUUGCUCACGUACCCAGCGUCCAUGCAUUGCACUCCAGAAGAAUACUCCACGGAUCCUGAUUUCGUUCCGGGACCUGUCGCUCCGUUGGGCGCUCUACACACGAAGAAUCCGAAAACCCGUACCACACACGCACACAUGACUACUCUCUCGGACGCCCCGGC
rnacentral:lncRNA from 1 species